rnacentral:rRNA from 1 species
UACAGAGGGUGCAAGCGUUAAUCGGAAUUACUGGGCGUAAAGCGCACGUAGGUGGCUUGGUAAGUUGGAUGUGAAAUCCCCGGGCUUAACUUGGGAAUUGCAUUCAAGACUGCCUUACUAGAGUGUGGAAGAGGGAAGCGGAAUUCCAGGUGUAGCGGUGAAAUGCGUAGAUAUCUGGAGGAACAUCAGUGGCGAAGGCGGCUUCCUGGUCCAACACUGACACUGAGGUGCGAAAGCGUGGGGAGCAAACAGG